CCUCCCCUUUCCCCAAGCGCGUUUAAUCAUUCACAGUCCCAGAGCGCCGUGGUGAAGGUGCAGCAGUUGCUGAUGGGAUGGCACAGCACAAGAGGAGGAGGAAAAUCGUGCAAAUGCCCUUUUCUCCUAGGAAAACAGUCUCGCCCCUUGCUACAUGGCUGUCCCUGCACAUAUACCAUGGGCAGAGUGCUCUGGGGGCUGCAAGCGGCCACCAAGCACCGUCCCAAAGACAAAUGGGUUUUUCCGUCUCCUGGGCACUGGCAGCACUAUAAGGGUGAGGAGUCUUCUGCAGGGCUUCUGCCCAAUGGGAACCCAUCUGCUGCAGGGGACAGCAAACGCCGGCAGGACACAAAGGCUGCACGGCUGGGAUCGCGGCAGUGCCGUCAGAUGGGCUGCGUCCUGCUUUGCUGGGGGAGCGGCCCUCGGAGCCGGGCUGGGGCGGCUGCGUCCCCCCUCGGGAGCACAGCUGGGUCAAGCACGGGAUGCAUCCCCAGAUAGGGCCACGUAUGCAACGCAUCCCCAUGUAGGACCAUAAGGGAUGCGUCCCCAGGGAAGCUUCGGGCUGGCUCAGGACCUGAAGGACACCGAGGGGCUGGCGCCGGCCCAGAGACCCACCUGCCCGGGGUGAUCGCUGCGGGUGAGGGCGCAGGAGGAGCUGACAGAGGGACCGGGAGGCCGCUUCUGAGCUCUGCGGGGUUUGGGCAGAUCCAAUGGGGCAGGAAUAUUAAGUGCCGGUGGAUGCCAGCGAGCCGCCACCGCCGCUAUUGGCGACGUUCGCCGAGGAAUGAGGCGUAGCACCGCGGGCUGCGGGCACCGGGAGGGGAAAACCUGAAAACGGGGGCGAGCGGCCGCUCCCCCGGCACGGAGAGAGCGAUGCUGCACGGCCCCGCCGCCAUGGGAGAGCCCUGGCAGCCGCAGUCCCAGCAGCAGCGGCUCCCGGCUCUCGGCAACGCCUCGGCCCCCAGCGCCCG
ensembl:lncRNA